UUCAUUAAAAGGAAGGAAGGAGGCGGGAACCGAAAGACAUUUUAAACAUUUAAUAAAGUAAUAUAACAGCCAGCGGCCCCUCACGGACGACCGCCGGCGAACAAAACACAAACACAAGUUCGGGCCCGGUCCUCUCUCUUCGACCCCGCCUACUCUACUACAGUUACAUUUGGCAUUUCAUUUCCUGGAUAAUCCCGUUGCCACAGCAACAUAAUGGUUAGAUCAUUUUCUUGAUUGGUGUGCUUUUAGACUAUGGUAUCUGAAAUGUUAGUUUCACAGAAACCCAUAUUAAAAUAGAUUUGAAUAGCCCUUAAAUGGUCACUUUAACUUAAGUUAAAGACGGAAGACUUCAGUAUUUAGAAAAAAAUCCUGGAAAAACUAAACUUUACUUAAUAAUAAUAUAAGAAGUCACCGGUUAGACAGAAAUAUUCUUUUGCACAUCAACAAUAAUACGUUUGAUUGCAAUAUUGUUUUACGGUGCUGGUCUCAUAAUUUAAUACGCUGUAGGGUUUUUUUGUUCUUUGAAAUUUGAAGAAAUUAUCAGAACAUACUGUGAUGGAACUAUCUUUAUGUUUAUUUUAUAUAGACAUCAUUAUGAAAAUCACUAUUUUAGGCACUUUGCUGUUCAUCUUAAAGGGGUCAUAUGACACGGCUAAAACAAAUAUAAUGGUUUGUUUUAUAUGUAAUGCAUUGUGUAUACACAAUUUAAGGUUAAAAAAGGCACACAAAAGACACUGAAAAACACGUAUUUGCGCCACAUGACCCCUUUAAUGACCCCUUUACGGGUUAAAAAUGUAAAAUUCACCAUGCUCUACUUAGUUCUAUAUCAGUUUCUAGUAAAGAUUAUGAAUUAUUACGAUUUUCUUUUCAACUGUUAUAUUAACAAUUACAUAGUUGCAGAUAUGAAACAAUUCUACAACAUACAACGUUAAGAAUGACGUGUUUCAUGAAACAUGAUUCUUUCUUGUCAGUGUGUGCAGGUUUAGCUGUACAUGUAAUAAUCUUUACUAUAAAUCUAAUGUUGUCAGGUAUGGGUUAGAUUUCAGCUUUAGGAAUGGGGUGUUAAAGCAGCCAGAGACUACAAUCUCAAACAACUGAGUGGUGUGAUUUAAAUGAUAAAACAUCUUUGGGCUGAAAUGAAAGCAAAGGAAAUGUUCAUUCCUCAGAUGUGAGUUUCCGAGCAGAAGUCAGGCAGGUUCAGACAGAUCAACACAUCAUGUGAAUGUCACAGUAUCCUAAAGCCUGCAGUGAUCAUGUGAUGCCCUUUGACUUUAGAGAGAACGUUGAAGUGGUUUUUAAGUCUUGACCUAUAGAUGGUAAACAAAUCUCACUCAUGUCUUGUGUUGCUGUGGUGUAAAUAUACACACUGCAUGAUGUCAGGAGGCCAGGAUGAGGGACAUGCACAACUAAGUGUGUGUACAUACAUGUGUGUUUAGACUCGGGUCUUGGGCUAUUUGUCUGUAGUCUUCGAAGGAACUGGAACAACAUAGUGCUUGCAACCUAGAGUUAUGGGUUCAAUUCUCAAAGACUGCAUGAACUGAAGGAUCUGUAAUGCACAAGGUCCUGUGGUCAGUGUGAUCUCUUUUCUGCCCUCUGCUGGUGAACAUACUUUAUUACUGUAAACAUGUCCCAAAAUUUUUUGAAGCAUCCCAGCGAAACAGUUAAAAUACAAAACGUAUCUUUCAUCAUUUAUUCACCCUCAUGUCAUUCCAAAUCUGUAUGAGUUUUUUUCUUCUUCAGGACACAAACGAAGAUAUUUUGGAGAAUGUUGAUAAAGAAACAACACUGAACUCUGUUGACUUUCAUUGAUUGAACACAAAACCACAUUUCUCAAAUUAUCUUCUUUUGUGUUUCACAGAAGAAAGAGAUUGUAUAACCACAUUAGGGUGGAUAAAUGGAAGAGUUUAGAUGUGUGGCUACAAAGUCCCUUUAAUAAUCAUUUAAUUAGAUAUUUAUUUUGAGUUAUUUGGACUAUGGAUCUUUCCCCGGCCCCAUUGCAUCAAUUUUGCGGAAAUGUUAGUGGAAAUGUUGUAGGUUUGUAUUAUAUUAUAAUUAUUGUUGACGAAGAAAAAAAUGCCACUCAAUGAUUAGAAGCGCCGUUUUUCAGACUGAAAUACUGCAUCUCUCCAUUAGGUGGCAGCAUUACAUAGUGUCGUAAUCACAAGUGAUUAAAGCAACACAAAAAUAACACAUAAAACACACAAAUUCAGUACUUGACUACACAAAUCAUGUACAUUACUAAUACUAAUAUUCUAAUACUGCUUUAUUGUAAGACUAAAUUUUUAAGAAUAUACUACAGUUUAUACUGUGAAAGAUCUGACAUCAUAUGUUGUAUCAUUCUAAGUAAAGUAUCUUUGAAAAACCACCUCAAGCCUUAUCAGUACUAAACAUUGGCUGUAUUCUGUGUUAUUCUUUUUAAACAGACAUCCCUUCACAUUCACCAUUGACUUCUGAGAAUAAAAACAAUCUUCUCUCCCCCCCACAGGUCAUGCAGACGUCACAGCUUGUGGUUCUAAGCUCUCUGGGCCACAGUUAACUGGAUGCCAGUAACAGGAAGGGGACAUUCUGAGAGGAAGUCAAAGAGUCAGAGCUGCAGCGGGUUCCAAAAAUCACAUCCCCCUAUGUGUCAUCACUGGCAUUCCCUGUGUUUCCAUGCCUGCAGCACAGCAUGCGUCUCUCUCUCUCUCUCUCUCUCUCUCUCCUGCAUGAUGUCUGCUUCCUAUCUGGAUGGGGGAUGAAGGGAAGGCAGUGUGGUUUGGGGAGGGGGUGACCUAAAUUCACACUCACUAACUGGUGAGCAUCAUUACCAUCACAGGGAGAGAUGUGACUUCCUGUUUCCUUUUAAUUGCUCAUUUUUCUCUCCCAUCUGCUCAUUCCCAACUCUCAUUUUUGUAAUGUUUGUCAUUACCUCCCUGAUCUCGUUUGAUCCUCUUUCAUCUUAGAGCUCUUCUGUCAUUGUUUUACCUGUUUCACAGUCUCUCGCACCUCCAGUAUGAAUGCCACAUAUUUUUUUAUGAUAUUAUCCACAAAAAAAAGAAGAGAGAAAUUACAGCCAUCAUCAAUGGAGGCAGACAAGCCCAUAGGACAUCAAUUUUAUAAUGACAGCCAACAACAGCCAUGAGAUCAUCAUCAGGCCAUUAUGACAUCAUCAAUGGAAGCAGACAAGUGAUCAUCAUUUUGUAAAAAUAACAGAUCCAGAGCUUCAGGCAUGGCCCGCGGCUGCAGGCCGGAGAUACGGACCCUCCUGGGAACGACAGCAACACCCCCUCCUCCCACCCGCAUCUUCUGACGGAGGCCAUCAAUGAAAGCUAAUCCUGGAUAAACCUCGGGAACCGAAACCUCGCCCGUCACCAUUAAAGAACCAGGGGGCGUAAACAUCUUCAUCGGUCUGACCUGCUGAUUCAGGUUUACUUGAGUCACCGCAAUCAUUCUGACCUGUGCAAGUUAUACUUGAUAAAACAGGGUUUGGUGGACUUGAGAUUUAACAUCACAACAGAAAGAUUAUCAGGGUUCAACAGAAAUGCCUUAUUCAUUUAUCACAAUAUUACAGGAACCAUGGAAACAGGAUAAAAACUGUAUAGCCGAUGUUUGUAAUGAAUUCUACUCUUUUAAUGAAAAUGUAGAGCUAAACUUUAAAAUGUGUACAUAUACACCACCCGUUGUUCUUAAUCAAGAUUUUAAGGUUUUUUUCUUUAAAGGGAUACUUCACAUUGAUCUGUUUGGUUACUGACAUUCUUCCAAAUAUCUUCCUUUGUGUUCAGCAGAACAAAUACAUGUGUACAGGUCUUGAACAUCUCAAGGGCGAGUAAAUGAUGACAGAAAUUACUUUUUUUGGUGAACUAUAUUUUUAAGUUGUAAAAGUUACCACAAAGUAACAACAAUCUCACCACAACAACCAUAUAGUUUGACAAUAUAUUUGUAGUAAAACCACCAUGGUAAUAAAAACAGUAAUCUGUCAAACCCUAGGGA